rnacentral:rRNA from 1 species
UACGUAGGGUGCGAGCGUUAAUCGGAAUUACUGGGCGUAAAGUGUGCGCAGGCGGCCGAGCAAGUCGAGUGUGAAAGCCCCGAGCUUAACUUGGGAACUGCGCUCGAAACUACUUAGCUGGAGUGUGGCAGAGGAAGGUGGAAUUCCACGUGUAGCGGUGAAAUGCGUAGAGAUGUGGAGGAACACCGAUGGCGAAGGCAGCCUUCUGGGCCAACACUGACGCUCAUGCACGAAAGCGUGGGGAGCAAACAGG